GGGAAUGUGGCUUAGUGGUAAAGCAUUUGCCUAGCAUGCAUGAAGCCCUGGAUUCGAUUCCUCAGCACCA
rnacentral:tRNA from 1 species